rnacentral:rRNA from 1 species
CGGUAAGCCUGAAUACUCCCUGGUGACCGAUAGCGGACUAGUACCGUGAGGGAAAGGUGAAAAGUACCCCGGGAGGGGAGUGAAAUAGUACCUGAAACCGUGCGCUUACAAUCCGUCAGAGCCUGCGCCCAGUUUUCUGGGGUGGGUGAUGGCGUGCCUUUUGAAGAAUGAGCCUGCGAGUUAGUGGCAUGUGGCGAGGUUAACCCGUGUGGGGUAGCCGUAGCGAAAGCGAGUCCGAAUAGGGCGUUGAGUCGCGUGUUCUAGACCC